UAGAGUUUGAUCCUGGCUCAGAUUGAACGCUGGCGGCAGGCCUAACACAUGCAAGUCGAGCGGAAACGAGUUAUCAGAACCUUCGGGGGACGAUAACGGCGUCGAGCGGCGGACGGGUGAGUAAUGCCUAGGAAAUUGCCCUGAUGUGGGGGAUAACCAUUGGAAACGAUGGCUAAUACCGCAUGAUGCCUACGGGCCAAAGAGGGGGACCUUCGGGCCUCUCGCGUCAGGAUAUGCCUAGGUGGGAUUAGCUAGUUGGUGAGGUAAGGGCUCACCAAGGCGACGAUCCCUAGCUGGUCUGAGAGGAUGAUCAGCCACACUGGAACUGAGACACGGUCCAGACUCCUACGGGAGGCAGCAGUGGGGAAUAUUGCACAAUGGGCGCAAGCCUGA
rnacentral:rRNA from 1 species